rnacentral:tRNA from 1 species
GGAGAGGUGGCCGAGUGGUCGAAGGCGCGUGUUUGGAGAACACGUGAACAGCAAUGUUCCCAGGGUUCGAAUCCCUGCCUCUCCGCCA